GGGCAGCGAUCGCCGAGUCCCCGUCCGGCGCGAGCCUGGGGAGCCGGGGACCCACGCAGUCCCUGGGGUGAAUCGGACGCCUUCGCACCCGUGCGGAGGGGCCCGUAGGAGACCUUCCUGCUCCGAACCCGUCAGCUAACCCGGUAGGCGAGAAGGAAGGAAAG
rnacentral:sRNA from 2 species